UAAAGCGCACGCAGGCGGUCUGUCAAGUCGGAUGUGAAAUCCCCGGGCUCAACCUGGGAACUGCAUUCGAAACUGGCAGGCUAGAGUCUUGUAGAGGGGGGGAGAAUUCCAGGUGUAGCGGUGAAAUGCGUAGAGAUCUGGAGGAAUACCGGUGGCGAAGGCGGCCCCCUGGACAAAGACUGACGCUCAGGUGCGAAAGCGUGGGGAGCAAACAGGAUUAGAUACCCUGGUAGUCCACGCCGUAAACGAUGUCGAUUUGGAGGUUGUGCCCUUGAGGCGUGGCUUCCGGAGCUAACGCGUUAAAUCGACCGCCUGGGGAGUACGGCCGCAAGGUUAAAACUCAAAUGAAUUGACGGGGGCCCGCACAAGCGGUGGAGCAUGUGGUUUAAUUCGAUGCAACGCGAAGAACCUUACCUGGUCUUGACAUCCACAGAACUUUCCAGAGAUGGAUUGGUGCCUUCGGGAACUGUGAGACAGGUGCUGCAUGGCUGUCGUCAGCUCGUGUUGUGAAAUGUUGGGUUAAGUCCCGCAACGAGCGCAACCCUU
rnacentral:rRNA from 1 species